UACGUAGGGGGCUAGCGUUGUCCGGAUUUACUGGGCGUAAAGGAUGCGUAGGCGGACAUUUAAGUCAGAUGUGAAAUACCCGAGCUUAACUUGGGUGCUGCAUUUGAAACUGGGUGUCUAGAGUGCAGGAGAGGUAAGUGGAAUUCCUAGUGUAGCGGUGAAAUGCGUAGAGAUUAGGAAGAACACCAGUGGCGAAGGCGACUUACUGGACUGUAACUGACGCUGAGGCAUGAAAGCGUGGGGAGCAAACAGG
rnacentral:rRNA from 1 species